CUACUACUCCCUUCGUUCCGAAUUACUUGUCACAGCUAUGGAUGUAUCUAAAUAUAUUUUAGUUGUAGAUACAUCCAUUUUCGUGACGAGUAAUUUGAAACGGAGGGAGUAGUAG
rfam:Triticum urartu cultivar G1812 contig769577, whole genome shotgun sequence.